GAUAAACGCUAGCGGUGCGCCUAACACAUGCAAGUCGAGCGAUCGAACUGGACUGAUCACCCUUCGGGGUGAGAGGACCAGUGACGGAGCGGCGGACUGGUGAGUAACGCGUAGCCAACCUACCCCCUUGACGGAGAUAACUACCUGAAAGGGUAGCUAAUACCCGAUAUUGCUCGAGAUCGAAAGAUCUUGAGCCAAAGGCGGUCUUGCCGUCGCAAGAGGAGGGGGCUGCGUCCUAUUAGCUUGUUGGUGGGGUAAUGGCCCACCAAGGCGAUGAUGGGUAGCUGGUCUGAGAGGAUGGCCAGCCACAUUGGGACUGAGAUACGGCCCAGACUCCUACGGGAGGCAGCAGUGGGGAAUCUUUCGCAAUGGGCGAAAGCCUGACGGAGCGACACCGCGUGGGGGAUGAAGGCUUUCGGGUUGUAAACCUCUUUUCUGGGGAAAGAAUAAGGUCGGGAGGAAAUGCCCGUCCGAUGACGGUACCCCAGGAAUAAGCAUCGGCUAACUUCGUGCCAGCAGCCGCGGUAAGACAAUGGAUGCAAGCGUUAUCCGGAUUUACUGGGCGUAAAGGGCGCCUAGAGGGCUGACUAAGUCACCCGUGAAAGCCCUCAGCUCAACUGAGGAAUGUCGAGUGAAACUGCUCAGCUUGGGUGCAGGAGAGGAGGGUGGAACUCACAGAGUAGCGGUGGAAUGCGUAGAUACUGUGAGGUACCCCGAUGGCGAAGGCAACCCUCUGGCUGCUACCGACGCUGAAGCGCGAAAGCGUGGGGAGCAAAGGGGAUUAGAUACCCCCGUAGUCACGCCGCAAACGAUGUUCACUGGGUGUCGGUCGCUAAUACAGAUCGGUGCCGGAGCUAACGCGUUAAGUGGACCGCCUGGGGAGUACGGCCGCAAGGCUAAAACUCAAGAGGAUUGACGGGGCCCCGCACAAGCGGUGGAGCACGUGGUUUAAUUCGAUGAUAAGCGAAGAACCUCACCUGGGUUUGACAUGCUAGUGGUAGGAACCGGAAACGGGGACGACCCUUGCCUUCGGGCAAGGGAGCUAGUACAGGUGAUGCAUGGCUGUCGUCAGUUCGUGUCGUGGGACGUUGGGUUAAGUCCCGAAACGAGCGCAACCCCUGUCGUCAGUUGCCAGCGGGUAAAGCCGGGGACUCUGACGAGACUGCCGGUGAAUAGCCGGAGGAAGGAGGGGAUGACGUCAAGUCAUCAUGUCCCUUAUGCCCAGGGCGACACACAUGCUACAAUGGGGGGUACAAAGGGCUGCAAUGCCGUAAGGCUGAGCCAAUCUCAAAAAACCUUCCUCAGUUCGGAUUGAGGUCUGUAACUCGACCUCAUGAAGCCGGAAUCGCUAGUAAUCGCAGGUCAGCCACACUGCGGUGAAUAUGUACUCGGGGCUUGUACACACCGCCCGUCACACCAACCGAGUGGGGGGUACUUGAAGUCGCUCUUUAUAGAGCGCCGAGGGUA
rnacentral:rRNA from 1 species